UACGUAGGGAGCAAGCGUUGUCCGGAAUCAUUGGGCGUAAAGCGCGCGUAGGUGGCCACAUAAGUCCGUUGUGAAAGUCAAAGGCUCAACCUUUGAAAGCCGAUGGAUACUGUGUGGCUAGAGUACGGAAGAGGCGAGUGGAAUUCCUGGUGUAGCGGUGGAAUGCGCAGAUAUCAGGAGGAACACCAAUUGCGAAGGCAGCUCGCUGGGACGUUACUGACGCUGAGACGCGAAAGCGUGGGGAGCAAACAGG
rnacentral:rRNA from 1 species